UAUUUCUCAUUUAAAAGGAAAGAAAAGGAAAUACUCUACAGUGUCUACAAAGAUUCUCUCUCUCCCUCUCUCUACCCAUCUAUGUCCACCGAAGCUCCUGAGACCCCAGUUAGGGUUCUGGUAAAUCACAUUGCAUCGAUAUCUCACUUGGAUCAGUGCAUCUUAGCUACAUUCUGAGGAUUUAGAUGGUGCAUGUCCAGUGAUUGAAGGUCUUAAAGGAGUUAAAUCUAUCAUAUAAGAAGGGGCUUCUGUCAGAUCAAAGAAAAUGCAUUUGCUGUCAUUGAUGUCCUGUGCCCAGUACAUCAAAAGUCAUCCUUCGAAAAGAAAGUAUUUAAUCAUUUUGUACACGCUAUAAAGACCUCCAUGAUAACUAAAUAAUCUAUAGUUCCUAUUCUUGUAGUGAUGGGUCCAUUUUCUGGUAUUUCUGAAAUUAUUGAAUCAAGGGACAAGCUGAGCUCAACUCAAAAAUCCAAAGGAACUCAUAGGACAGCAGCACAUGACAAGGGUCAAAAGUCUCUUUUGCUGAAACUGGGAUCUGAUAAUUCUCAAAAGGAGGAUAUAAAUAAACUUUUUGAGGCAAUUAACAUCAAAACUCCGGCCAAGGUUUCAAGUCCUUCUGUCCAAGUUGGCACAAGCCCAUCAGGGAAAGAUGCGGUAAAGAAACCAAUCGGGGUUGAUGUGCCAGUGUCGUUGAAACAGGCACUAAGGGGUUUAUCUAUUUCCCAGGCAUCAGAAAUGGCUUCCAUGAAACGGUUAUCAAAGUCAUCUACUUCUCCUAGGGUCUCAGAGGCAGGUAAGAUCGCAAGUUUGUACAGGUCAGUUGUGGUUGAAGCUGGUGAAUCUAGUCAUUCCCGAAACGAAAUGUACAGGGGAGAGGUUGAAAUAUCUUUUGUGCCAGAAGAGUGUACAAAUUCCUCUAGGAAUUUACCUCCGCAUCUUGGAAUGCCCAAAUUAAAGUCGUCCAACGAAUGUUCCAAUUCUACUCCUCGAUAUGCUUUGGCAACAACAGAAGAGAAAACAGAAGCAGCAGCUCACUAUGAAAAGCAUGAAGCAUUUCCUUCUCCACCUUCUCAAGAGAAUAGUGAUGGCUUUGACAUUCUAGAGCCCAAGAUGAAAACAUCAAACCAGAGUGGCCAUUCUUCUCCUCGGUAUGCUUUGGCUAGACUAGAGAGGGGUACAAGGUCUACUUUUAUGAAUGAUUUGAUAACUGGAUCGACAGAAGUUCAGCGUCGAACAUCAUCAAAGCCGUUGCAGGAGAAAAAGCAUGUGGGGCCUUCUUCUCUUUCUUGUCACAAUACUGGUGGUACUUUGUCAAUUAGGUUAAAAAACAAAGCAUCAGCACCAAAGUUAAGGCGGAAAGGCAGGUUGCUGACGGUACCUUCUUCAUCUAAUGCAAUCAAGAGCAAUAAGGGAAGCAAAACGACAAGAAAGGCUCUACAUUUGACCAAGCCAAUUCUCAGGAACAAGCCGAUUAUUAAGAAGAAAGUAAGGCUGGAUUCAACUUCUGUGGGCUCCACUUCCAAUGUUAAUUAUGAAAUUACUAGUGCCUUGAAUUUUAGUGGCGGCCAAUUACUUUGCCAGAGAUGCCAGUGUACUUUGACAAAUGUGAGGAACAACAUGACUGAAGCUUCUCCAGCAUCCUACUAUGCAAGUGUCAGUAAACAGGGCUUUGCUUCAAAUAGCUCUUCAAAUAGUGGAGCUGUGGUUGAAAAUGCUAAUACAAACACAAAAACAAGAGAAAAUGGGGAUUCCUCACAAAGUUCGAAAAGUAGCCUUGGUGAAUACAGUUGCACCAGUAGCAUUAGUGAAGAGAGUAAACUGUGUGGGUCUAGUCAUGGCAACAGGCCUCACAUGUCAAAGGACUUGAGGUGGGACGCCAUCCAUCAUGUUAGGAAACAACAUGGAUUCCUAGGUUUGAGACAUUUCAAUCUGUUAAAGAAGCUUGGUUCCGGAGAUAUUGGCACAGUAUAUCUUGCCAAAUUAAUUGGAACUAACUGCCUAUUUGCUAUAAAGGUCAUGGACAAUGAGUUUUUGGCUAGGAGAAAGAAAUUGCCGAGGGCCCAAACUGAAAGAGAAAUAUUGAGUAUUCUAGAUCAUCCUUUCCUCCCAACUCUAUUUGCGCAGUUUACAGCGGAUAAUCUUUCAUGCUUGGUGAUGGAGUAUUGUCCAGGUGGAGAUCUGCACGUCCUCCGGCAAAAGCAGCCUGGAAGAUAUUUUUCUGAACAAGCAGCAAGGUUUUACGUUGCGGAAGUCCUCCUUGCUUUGGAGUAUUUGCAUAUGCUAGGAGUAAUCUAUCGAGAUUUGAAACCAGAAAAUAUUCUGGUCCGAGAAGAUGGUCACAUUAUGCUUACUGAUUUUGACUUGUCGCUUAGGUGCACUGUAAACCCAACUCUUCUCAAAUCAUCAUCAUUGGCUAUGGACCCCCCCAGGGUUUCAGGUCCAUGCAAGGGGUCCAGCUGCAUUGAUCCUUUUUGCAUUGAACCAUCCUGUCAACUCGCAUGCUUCAGCCCUAGGAUUUUACCUUCUUCCUCAAAAGCAAGGAAACUAAAAGCAGACCAUGCAACCCAUCCCAGAUCGUUACCACAGCUUGUGGCUGAGCCAGCAGACGCCCGGUCUAACUCCUUUGUUGGGACCCACGAGUACUUGGCUCCUGAGAUCAUCAGAGGAGAGGGUCAUGGGAGUGCCGUUGAUUGGUGGACAUUCGGCGUCUUCCUUUAUGAGCUUUUAUAUGGUAAGACACCUUUCAAAGGCGCCAGAAAUGGAGAGACUCUGGAUAAUGUUGUGGUUCAAAGCCUCAAGUUUCCGAAUAGCCCAAUGGUUAGUUUCCAGGCAAGAGAUCUCAUCCAAGGGUUGUUAGUGAAGGAGCCUGAGAAUCGGUUGGGAUCAGAGAAAGGGGCUGCUGAAAUCAAGCAUCACCCCUUCUUUCAUGGCUUGAAUUGGGCACUAAUACGUUGCGCAAUUCCGCCUCAACUGCCCGAGUUCUUUGAUGCUGGCAUAAAUGGGGCCUUUGUGGAGAAGGGGACAAAGUAUCUGCGGUACGUGGAUGCUGGCGAAGAGGACUUGGAGUUUGAGUUGUUCUAGAAAAGACUUCAAAAUUAUUGGUUGUGCCAAGCCAAGUGCUUGACCACCUUAGAGCUAGAUUCUGUCGCAUCAAAAUAAAGAAAAAGGAGUUUGUCGUCCGCUGCACUGUCCCUGUUUGGAUAAUAUUCAUCUAGAAGUUGCUUGAUCUGUCUGCCAUUCUUUUUCCUUUCUGAGACAUGUAUCGUUUCUUGGGACUAGAAAUGGAGAAUAGGCGGUAUAUAUCGUCAUGAACGGAGACCAAUAUUUUAUCUAUGAUUCCAUGGAAUUCUUUUGGGCUUAAUGGACUAGGAUAACUUACCGAGAUGUUUUCUUCAGGAUUGUUUCAAACCAAAUGCUUAAUUUGAUG